GGUACACGAGCGGCGAACGGGUGAGUAAAGAGGGUGAUCUGCCUCGCACUUCGGGAUAAGCCUGGGAAACUGGGUCUAAUACCGGAUAUGACCUUUCAGUGCAUGCUGUUGGGUGGAAAGAUUUAUCGGUGCGAGAUGGGCCCGCGGCCUAUCAGCUUGUUGGCGGGGUAACGGCCCACCAAGGCGACGACGGGUAGCCGACCUGAGAGGGUGACCGGCCACACUGGGACUGAGACACGGCCCAGACUCCUACGGGAGGCAGCAGUGGGGAAUAUUGCACAAUGGGCGGAAGCCUGAUGCAGCGACGCCGCGUGAGGGAUGACGGCCUUCGGGUUGUAAACCUCUUUCGACAGGGACGAAGCGCAAGUGACGGUACCUGUAGAAGAAGCACCGGCCAACUACGUGCCAGCAGCCGCGGUAAUACGUAGGGUGCGAGCGUUGUCCGGAAUUACUGGGCGUAAAGAGCUUGUAGGCGGUUUGUCGCGUCGUCCGUGAAAACUUGGGGCUCAACCCCAAGCUUGCGGGCGAUACGGGCAGACUUGAGUACUUCAGGGGAGACUGGAAUUCCUGGUGUAGCGGUGAAAUGCGCAGAUAUCAGGAGGAACACCGGUGGCGAAGGCGGGUCUCUGGGAAGUAACUGACGCUGAGAAGCGAAAGCGUGGGUAGCGAACAGGAUUAGAUACCCUGGUAGUCCACGCCGUAAACGGUGGGUACUAGGUGUGGGUUUCCUUCCACGGGAUCCGUGCCGUAGCUAACGCAUUAAGUACCCCGCCUGGGGAGUACGGCCGCA
rnacentral:rRNA from 1 species